ensembl:snRNA U6 U6 spliceosomal RNA
GUGCUCCCUUUGGCAGCACAUAUACUAAAAUUGGAGCAACAUAGAGAAGUUUAGCUAUGGCCCCUGCGCAAGGAUGACACGCAAAUUCAUGAAGUGUUCCAUAUUUCU